rnacentral:lncRNA from 1 species
CUCUCCCACCUCCCUUCAUCAAGGAGCAGUCUCAUGCCCAGGAGCUAGAAAUGUAGGCUUUGCCGGCAUUGGUUGAGCUGUGCUGGGCCCUAGGCAGCGAUGACUCAAACUUGACCCUUAACCCCCAGGCAGGUAAGUGAGCCGCAGUGCUUUACGAUGCCGACCACAGUUUGGAAUUAGGGGAUACAGACAUUCUGAUGGCAAGGGUCAGGGAAUCUCCUAGGACACUGGAGGAAUACCAGGCCUGGGGCUAAGCAGCUCGUUUUUCCUUUUUGACACAAAGGAGGGGCUGGAGGCUUCUGAGCCAAGGCUCUGCUGGACUAGGGAUGGUGUUGCCAAUGAAUAGCAUGGAUUGGAAAAGACCAGACUGGAAGUGGGAGCCGGGCAACUAGGGAACUGGAACAAUAGGCCAAGCGGGGGGCCAGCGGUUGGCAACAGGGCCCAUGUGGCCCCAGGCAAUGUGAAGGCGGUCAGUAGGCAGGGAGGUGGGGUGGGAAAGGGAUCAGCUGGGGGAGGUAGGCAGAAAAGGCUCAGGUCCAAGUUCCAGGCCAUGCUAAGGCAACAAGUGUCACAGAGGUCCGUGGUGGGGCCGAGGAUGGACUGCAGACCCUAAAGGCCAAGUCCAACUUCCCUCUAUCGCUCCUCUGGGUGAAGAAUGCAUGUUUCCUCCAGAGUCUCAGAUUAGAUAGACAUCCUUUGACCUUGUCUAUCCAGUUCUGUUUCCCUCUUCUUCCCAUAGGGGUCUCCCUCCCUCCCCGUCCUUAAGUGGGGCGGGCACUUAGCCCAGGGUGGUGAUAUGACCCAGUCCUAUCCAAUCACCAUGGUCCCGCCUCCUGGCUACCACAAUUGGCUCAGGGAUGAGCACGUGGCCCAUAGCAGCCCAGUGAGAGUCAGCCCUGGGUGGGAACUGGUGGGAAAGAAUUCUGCUGGAGCAUCUGGAGUUGCUCAAAUGGAGUGGCUGUGGCCAUCUUUCCUUACACGUGGGGAGGAAUCAGCCUGAGAAUGAAACCAUCACAGGAAAGGGCUGAAAGACGGCAAGUUUUCACUGGGUCUUACCCGACGUGAGCCCCCACUCCUCCAUAUGGACCUGUUUUGGACCAAUGAGGCAUCCUCUUCUGUAGUCCUCAACACGCGGAGCUCCACCACUCCUGAGCAGUGUGACCUCAGGCAAGUAUCUUAACCUCUCUGGGUCCCUGUUUCCUCAUCUGUAUAAUGAGGACAAUAAUAAUGCCUACCAGGGUUGUUGUGAGGAUUAAAUGAAUACGUGUAAAGCGCUCAAGGCAGGCCCAGGCACACAGUGAAUCUCAAAUGUUAACUGCUAUUUUAUAGUUAUUAUCCUCGCGCACCUCUAGCUUUAGAAGACCAGUUCCGAGAGCAGGAGGCACAGGGAAGGGAAGAAUGGCCCUCCCCUGGUUGCCUUGGGUUUGCCCUCAGUUACACUUUGCUCUCUGAAGACCCACCUCUUCCCCAAGUGAUUGACACUGGAGUCAUCCGCACAGCAUGCUCCAGAUGCGGCACAGCCUGAGUCAGGCCUUGUGGGAUGCGCCCACCCGGGAACAGGAAGGAGAGACGUGCCUGACUGAGCAGAGGGCUGGAGGUCAGACAACACGUCCCUGCCCUGGGCACUGGCUGCUCAGUCAUUAAAACAGACCCAAAUAGCUUCUGGCCAGGGGCUCAAAGGAACAGCCUGUUAGAGACUCAGUUUUCCAGUCUCUCUUCACUGUUGUUCUCUCUCCACAGGUGGGGUUGGGGAGAGGCCUCGGGAUGGCAAGGACCAGGGUCUGCGGCCAAGCCUGUGGGUCCUGUCUCCCUCUAGGAUGCCCCUGGGACACUGGUACCCAUGGAUGCACUGGGUGACUUGAGGUCAAUGGCUUUCUCUCUCCAGACCUAGGCAGAAAAAGCAAUCUGCUUUGCAUCAGAGAACCUCAAGAGGCUCUUAAUCCUGCUCUUUUCUCCCUCUGGGCUCCCUCCGUGAUGAGCUCAUCUGACCUCCUGGCAACCCCGAAGGGUGGUUUAGAGCAGGGAAUCAGCCUCCCG